rnacentral:rRNA from 1 species
GAUGAACGCUGGCGGCGUGCCUAAUACAUGCAAGUCGAGCGAACAGACGAGGAGCUUGCUCCUCUGACGUUAGCGGCGGACGGGUGAGUAACACGUGGAUAACCUACCUAUAAGACUGGGAUAACUUCGGGAAACCGGAGCUAAUACCGGAUAAUAUAUUGAACCGCAUGGUUCAAUAGUGAAAGACGGUUUUGCUGUCACUUAUAGAUGGAUCCGCGCCGCAUUAGCUAGUUGGUAAGGUAACGGCUUACCAAGGCAACGAUGCGUAGCCGACCUGAGAGGGUGAUCGGCCACACUGGAACUGAGACACGGUCCAGACUCCUACGGGAGGCAGCAGUAGGGAAUCUUCGGCAAUGGGCGAAAGCCUGACGGAGCAACGCCGCGUGAGUGAUGAAGGUCUUCGGAUCGUAAAACUCUGUUAUUAGGGAAGAACAGAUGUGUAAGUAACUAUGCACGUCUUGACGGUACCUAAUGAGAAAGCCACGGCUAACUACGUG